CCUCCCAGAGGGAGGAUACUGCUGAGCCCCACUAUACCACGGUCUAGAGUUAUUACUACACAGUUGCUCAUCCUCUAGAACCCAAAUUGCCACUGAGCCCUAUUGGCUCAGAUUCCUAAACUGCAGCUGAAUUUUGCUCCCCAGGCUCAAACCUCCAAAGUACCCCUUACUCCAUGGAGUCAGGCCAGAGCUGUGUUCUGCCUCCUUCAGGGGUAGAAUCAUAGCUACAACUCAGCUUCCUGAGACCAGGCUGCUAGAUGGUACCUGAGUCACAGAUUUUGGUUCUAUGGACAACCGGUAU
rnacentral:lncRNA from 10 species